GUCUAUGGCCAUGCCACCCUGAACAAGCCUGAAGUCUUAUCUCAGAAGUUAAGCAGGGUCGGGCCUGGUUAGUACUUGGAUGGGAGACUACCUAGGAAGAAGACUAGGUACUGUAGGCA
rnacentral:rRNA from 1 species